rnacentral:lncRNA from 1 species
GCCAAAACUAAGUAUGUUGAUCUUGUUUUGUUGUUGAUCUGUAUCUCCAGUGCAAACCAAAUGUUCAAAUACCAAAUGUUAACAUAGUCUGAACCUUGCUAUUUCCAGUAACUAUAGAACAAUACACUACAGAACUUGCAAUUACUUGAUCCUAGUGUUAACUGAAUUCUCAACAAAACAUCCUUACCACUUGAUGAUGUAUGCCUUUUGCCUUUUGUUCUUGUGGAAAAAGCUAGAAAUUUGUUCUUUUGUAACUCGGACGAAUUUGAACCUCUCCCCUAUUCUUCUCCUCUCUAUGAAGUGUCUUUCCAGCUUUCUUUAUCAAUCCUAACACUAAAGUUUUUAGUUUUGACGAUGACAAAAAUCUAAAUUUACAAUGAAUUAGUUUGACUUCAGUUUAUCUUGCUCAAAUCUAGUCUGAAUUUAAACUGUUUGUUGACAAGAUUUACAUUGUUAGUUUAAACUGAAUUUUUCUGAAACUGAAUUUACAUAGCAACUAAUACAAACGAGAUUGCCGAACUGAAUUUACACAACACCUAAUACAGACAAAUCAAGAGGAACACCAUACCAAAAGUGCUGACAGUGUGGUCAAUGCCAGAACGCACAUUGUGUUCCAGAUGAUUCUUCCCCAAUUCUUCAUCAAGUUUACUAGUACUAGACUAUUAGGAAGUCUCGGCAUCAGAAGCUUUCCUUGGGAUCAAAGUUUGAGCAUCAGAAGAUUUUCUUGGGAUCAAGAAAGCUGCCUACUGACCCCGGGAUCGAGAUGUAGGGGUAGAGAAAUGCAGAUAGGCCGGUGGAGAGCCAGGUCUUGGCCUCGGGUACCUCGUGCAGCUCCACAAGCUUGGCAAUGGUGGCCACAUCUUUCGACUAAUCAGGGCCGCGGGGCAUGCAGCUCCGCCGUGCGGUAGGUCUCCCCCAGCAACUCGAGGAGGCGCGAGCAUGGCUAGGAGAAGGCAAGGCCCGAAUCCGUUAGGUCAACCUCCACCUCGUCGGCGCCUCCCUCCCCUACCAAAGUUGAAGGAAACGACAAAGGUGUGCUCGCCCGCGAGGAUGAUCUUGCCGGGUGCGGGGUGCGGAUCUCGACGCCGCCGGUUCUAGCCUCCCCGCCAACCCCAUGCCCUCGAGAGGUGAAAGUUCCAUUUUUCCCGCACAAGGGAGAGGAGGAGGCGCGGGGGAGCUACGCGGGGAAUGAAUCGGCGAGGAGCUACACAAGGGACAGCGAGGAUGCACGGGGGGAGCUGCACGGCAUGGGUGAGCUGCACGGUGGCCGACGAUGGCGCGACGGAGCAGGUGGCGACGCGGGAGGGGAUGGGAGUAGCGGCGAGGAUCGCUGGUUCUGUCGGUGAAAGUAGAGGACAUUUUUAGAAAAAAACAUGUCUACAUAGGAACAGAGGGAGUAGUCGUCUAAAAUAAAUGAAACGUCCUCGUCUAAAAAAGGAAAAAAG